GAUCCUAACUCCCACAACAAUGUAGCAGAGGCUAGUGGAUUGAUAAUAAAUCUGUAGGAGAUCUGAUAGCUAAACAGGAAGGGAUAAACAAAUAUUGCUUUCAAUUGCAAUUUCCUAGACAACAGAAUCGUCAUCCCUGCAAUAACUAAAUAUAUCAUAGUGUUUUGGGAGGAAACCAUAAGGGCAAUUUAAAAACUAUAUAUUAAUGAUUUAAAAAAAAAGUGUUGCCUUGUGCUUUAAAUAUAGGUGUGUAAAAUACAUCAAGGCAAUACUAUUGGGUAUGUGUUUUGCAGACUGGAACCUAAUAAAAGUCUUGCUAUACUGUACAUGUUAGAUCCUGUGAUCAUAAUAAAAUAUGGAUUUAAACAGAUAUGGUAUAAUAUUUACUAGACAUCCAGUGGUGGAAUUAAUGGGGUAUCUGGAGGCUUAACCGCCAUGUGGCUUGAUGUAAUUAGAGCUCAAGAUAAGGAGGAUGGUGGGCAUCUUUAAAAAUGCCUCUGCUGGGCAUGAAUGGUCAGAUAUGAUUAUAUAGAUGAAUUGAUCUAAGAGUGCCAGUCACUUGUAGCACAUAGCAACAAGCUACCUUCUGUUUGCCACAGCGCAGGCUUUGGGGUGCACCAACCUAACCAAGGACCUCCAUAAAAAAUUCUGUUCUUGUGUGCUCUUGCUAAAAAACAUAUUCAAUGCAUCACAGGGGUUAAGUACAUAAACACACAUUGCCUUAACAGGGAAAUUGCUGAAAUGAUAACUACAGAUAUUACCAAGAGUCUAAAAAAGGAGCGAGGAUCUCUGGAGCCGAGCAUCUAUGACGUAGGAGCGGAGCAUCUCUCCAAACACAAGAGUCUCUUGAAGUUUCAUCAAACAAGAAAUUUCAUAAAUCUCCUUUUCAUGCGAAGCCAUUUGCUGAGCGAAACGCUGCAACCUUCUUACUCAUGACAAACACACUCAAAGGGCUCUCAAUCUGCACACAAACUCAGUGUGGGAAGAGUAUUGUCAUUAAGGUGUAUAAAUUGAAGCUGGGAAUUUGGCUGCAGGUCAUUGUGCUGGAUGAUAAGACAGGAGUGGGACAGAGCUGCAAAGAGAACACUGAAUCAUAAGGAUGAAAGACUCACAGUUGGUAUUUGUCACCAUGAUAUCUUUAGUUAUUGCUUGUGUGAUGGCUCAGUCGUCCAGGGAAGGUGAAUGGAAGUCAUUGGAAAACCCAUACAACAGAGAUCUGUUUUUCAAGUUCUUGAAAUCCUAUAUUAUUGGGAGGGGAAGCCACCUGAUGAACCCAGGGACAAUGGAUAAAGCUGUGAAUGACUUGCGGAGUAACACAGAUUCAAAGUAUGGCAACCUACAGAGGAUUCUGGACAACAAUGAAAUAGCCAAUACCUAAACCUCAACAUCUGCCAAACCUUCAUGUUCUAACAACUGUAAAUGUAAGGGAACGGCUCGCAACAUCACCCGACCAAGCACUUUUAAAAGACACUUUUUGCUGUUAUGUUUAGUCUUAGGUAGAAACAGAUAUACAGUGCAAAAAAGUACUUUUUGUUUGGAACUAAUAAUAAAACUUGUACAUACAUGUUGUGUCCCAGUAUUAAAAAAGGAUUAUAAAAUUAUUUGGCCCAGUAUCAUAUAAACUCUGUAAAUCCUUUGAUUAUAAUUUAAUUACUAAUGCUCAUAUGAAUUAGCUCUACAUAUUAAGUGUUGCAGCAUUAACACUGGCGAUGCAUAGAUCAAAGAGCCACUAUAGUGAUUAUAUAGCCAGGGCCAUAAUUUUCAAUCUACAGCACUUGAAGGAUUAAA